UACAGAGGUCUCAAGCGUUGUUCGGAUUCAUUGGGCGUAAAGGGUGCGUAGGCGGCGCGGUAAGUCGGGUGUGAAAUCUCGGAGCUUAACUCCGAAACUGCAUUCGAUACUGCCGUGCUUGAGGACUGGAGAGGAGACUGGAAUUUACGGUGUAGCGGUGAAAUGCGUAGAUAUCGUGAGGAAGACCAGUGGCGAAGGCGGAUCUCUGGACAGUUCCUGACGCUGAGGCACGAAGGCCAGGGGAGCAAACGGG
rnacentral:rRNA from 1 species